CCCUUAGAUGUCCUGGGCCGCACGCGCGUUACACUGAUGCAUUCAACGAGCUUAUAACCUUGGCCGAGAGGCCUGGGCAAUCUUGUUAACGUGCAUCGUGAUAGGGAUAGAUUAUUGCAAUUAUUAAUCUUGAACGAGGAAUUCCUAGUAAACGCAGAUCAUCAAUCUGCAUUGAUUACGUCCCUGCCCUUUGUACACACCGCCCGUCGCACCUACCGAUUGGAUGGUCCGGUGAAGCCUCGGGAUUGUGGUUCUUGCCGCUUUAUUGUGGCGUGACCGCGAGAACUUGUCUAAACCUUAUCAUCUAGAGGAAGGUGAAGUCGUAACA
rnacentral:rRNA from 1 species